UACGUAGGGAGCAAGCGUUAUCCGGAUUUACUGGGUGUAAAGGGCGUGUAGGCGAGCCUGCAAGUCAGAAGUGAAAUCUGGGGGCUUAACCCCCAAACUGCUUUUGAAACUGCGGGUCUUGAGUACUGGAGAGGAAAGUGGAAUUCCUAGUGUAGCGGUGAAAUGCGUAGAUAUUAGGAGGAACACCAGUGGCGAAGGCGGCUUGCUGGACUGUAAAUGACGCUGAGGCUCGAAAGCGUGGGGAGCAAACAGG
rnacentral:rRNA from 1 species